UCUUUGAUGGUCUAGUGGUCAUGAUUUCCGCUUGUCACGCGGGAGACCGGGGUUCGAUUCCCCGUCAGAGAG
rnacentral:tRNA from 5 species